rnacentral:rRNA from 1 species
AUGUCGUCGCCGAGGAACGAUGGUGGGUUCCUGACGCAGGAGCAGCGGGAGAAGCUGCGGAUCGCGGUGCAGAACGCCGAGACGCUCUCGCUCACGUCGCCGCGCUCGCCCACGGGGAGCACCACCUCCGCGCUGCUGCAGCAGUACGAGCUGCACCAGCAGCAGGUGCGCGCCGCUGCCGCCGCCGCGAGGGGAGGCGGGGGCGGGGGCGGAGCUGGGGCGAGGCACGCGCGACGGUCGCAUUCCGGGAAGGCCGUCAAGCUUAAGAAAGAUGGUGCUGGUGGCAAAGGCACCUGGGGAAGACUUAUCGACGCUGAUACAGCCACAUUCCUUGACCGAAAUGAUCCAAACUAUGAUAGCGAUGAGGAGCCAUAUGAAUUAAUUGAAGCCCCUGCUACAACCCCACUAGAGGACUACAAGAAAUCUUUUGUCACGAUCAUUGAGGAAUAUUUCAGCACUGGUGAUGUGAAGCAGACAGGUUCUGAUCUUAAAGAGCUGGGUUAUGAUGACUUCCACCGCUACUUUGUCAAGAAGCUUGUUUCCAUGGCAAUGGACAGACAUGACAAGGAGAAAGAGAUGGUGUCAGUGCUGUUAUCAUCUCUGUAUGGUGAUGGGCUCAGUUCAACUCAAAUCAAACUAGGGUUUGUGAUGCUGCUACAAGCUGUUGAUGAUUUGGCUGUUGACAUACCUGAUGCAGUUGAUGUUCUUGCUCUUUUCAUUGCACGAGCAGUUGUAGAUGACAUUCUUCCACCUGCUUUUCUCAACAAGGCAAAAGGAAGCCUGACAGAGUCUUCAAAGGGCUUGCAAGUUUUACAAAUUGCAGCAAAGAGCUAUCUUUCAGCACCCCACCAUGCAGAGUUACUUGAGCGACGCUGGGGUGGUUCAACUCACAUCACAGUGGAGGAGGUAAAGAGGAGGAUUACUGAUCUUCUAAAGGAAUAUAUUAAGAAUGGUGAUACAGCGGAGGCGUGUAGGUGCAUAAGAGAGUUGGCUGUGCCAUUUUUCCACCAUGAGGUCGUGAAACGUGCUGUCACCCUUGGAAUGGAAAGUCCAGCUGCAGAAACCCUUAUUGUCAAGCUUCUGAAGGAGGCAUCUGAAGAAGGUUUGAUAAGCUCUAGUCAGAUGGUGAAGGGUUUCUCCCGUAUUGUUGAGAGUCUUGAUGAUCUCUCCCUUGAUAUACCAUCCGCAAAAUCUCAAUUCCAGACAUUGGUAUCGAAAGCAGUUUCCGAGGGUUGGCUUGACUCUUCGUAUGAAUCUUCAGGUGCUAACGGCAGUGUCCAAGAUGAUGACCAUGAGAAGCUGAGGAGGUACAAGAGGGAGGCUGUGUCUAUGAUACAUGAGUACUUCCUUUCUGAUGAUAUACCAGAGCUUAUUCGCACACUCAAAGAACUUGGUUUACCAGAGUACAACCCGGUCUUUAUCAAGAAACUGAUAACAAUUGCCAUGGAUCGCAAGAACAGGGAGAAAGAGAUGGCAUCCGUUCUCCUAUCCUCAUUAAGCAUGGAGCUAUUCUCCAGUGAAGACAUCGUCAAGGGAUUCAUAAUGCUUCUUGAAUCUGCAGAAGAUACUGCACUGGACAUAUUGGAUGCCUCAGAUGAGCUGGGACUGUUCCUAGCGAGGGCAGUGAUCGAUGAUGUGCUUGCGCCUCUGAACUUAGAUGAGAUUGGCAGCAUCCUUCCACCAAGCUGCAGUGGGGCUGAAACGUUGAACAUGGCGCGCUCGCUUGCCUCCGCCCGCCACUCAGGAGAGAGGCUACUGAGAUGCUGGGGCGGCGGGACAGGAUGGGCCGUGGAGGACGCCAAGGACAAGAUAACAAAGCUCCUGGAGGAGUACGAGAGUGGAGGCGAUGUAGGAGAAGCAUGCAAGUGCAUCCGUGAGAUGGGCAUGCCUUUCUUCAAUCACGAGGUGGUCAAGAAGGCGCUGGUCAUGGCAAUGGAGAAGAAGAAAGAGUGCAUGCUUGCUCUGCUGCACGAGUGCUUUGGCGAAGGGAUCAUAACCAUCAACCAGAUGACCAAGGGGUUCUCGAGGGUCAGGGACGGGCUUGACGAUCUGGCUCUCGACAUACCUGAUGCCAGGGAGAAGUUCCUCUCCUACGUGGAGUAUGGGAAGAAGAACGGAUGGCUCGUACCCUCUUUCGGCGUUGCUGCUUCGACUUGA